AGUGAACGCUGGCGGCAGGCCUAAUACAUGCAAGUCGAACGGCAGCACAGCAGAGCUUGCUCUGUGGGUGGCGAGUGGCGGACGGGUGAGGAAUACAUGGGAAUCUGCCCAGUCGUGGGGAUAACGUAGGGAAACUUACGCUAAUACCGCAUGCGCCCUUCGGGGAAAGCCGGGGACCGUAAGGCCUGGCGCGAUUGGAUGAGCCCAUGUCGGAUUAGCUAGUUGGCGGGGUAAAGGCCCACCAAGGCGACGAUCCGUAGCUGGUCUGAGAGGAUGAUCAGCCACACUGGAACUGAGACACGGUCCAGACUCCUACGGGAGGCAGCAGUAGGGAAUAUUGGACAAUGGGCGCAAGCCUGAUCCAGCCAUGCCGCGUGAGUGAAGAAGGCCCUCGGGUUGUAAAGCUCUUUGUCCGGAAAGAAAAGCGCCGGGUUAAUACCCUGGUGUCCUGACGGUACCGGAAGAAUAAGCACCGGCUAACUUCGUGCCAGCAGCCGCGGUAAU
rnacentral:rRNA from 1 species